rnacentral:rRNA from 1 species
CCUACGGGAGGCAGCAGUGGGGAAUUGUUCGCAAUGGGCGCAAGCCUGACGACGCAACGCCGCGUGGAGGACGAAGAUCUUCGGAUCGUAAACUCCUGUCGAGCGGGAAGAACAGCCUGCGGGUCAACAGCCCGCGAGCCUGACGGUACCGCUAAGGGAAGCCCCGGCUAACUCCGUGCCAGCAGCCGCGGUAAUACGGGGGGGGCAAGCGUUGUUCGGAAUUACUGGGCGUAAAGGACUCGUAGGCGGCCAGCUAAGUCGGUUGUGAAAUCCCCCGGCUCAACCGGGGAACUGCGACCGAUACUGGUUGGCUCGAAGCCGGGAGAGGGAUGCGGAAUUCCAGGUGUAGCGGUGAAAUGCGUAGAUAUCUGGAGGAACACCCGUGGCGAAGGCGGCAUCCUGGACCGGUCUUGACGCUGAGGAGCGAAAGCCAGGGUAGCAAACGGGAUUAGAUACCCCGGUAGUCCUGGCCCUAAACGAUGAAUGCUUGGUGUGGCGGGUAUCGAUCCCUGCCGUGCCGGAGCUAACGCAUUAAGCAUUCCGCCUGGGGAGUACGGUCGCAAGGCUGAAACUCAAAUGAAUUGACGG